AGCGAACGUUAGCGGCGGGCCUAACACAUGCAAGUCGAACGCGAAAGGUCUUCGGACUGAGUAGAGUGGCGCACGGGUGAGUAACACGUAGGUAAUCUACCCUUUGGCGGGGGAUAACGUUCCGAAAGGAGCGCUAAUACCGCAUAAGACCACGGAGUCUCCGGACGCUGUGGGAAAAGGUGGCCUCUUCUUGAAAGCUACCACCGAAGGAUGAGCCUGCGUCCCAUCAGCUAGUUGGUAAGGUAAUGGCUUACCAAGGCGAAGACGGGUAGCUGGUCUGAGAGGAUGACCAGCCACACUGGAACUGAGACACGGUCCAGACUCCUACGGGAGGCAGCAGUGGGGAAUCUUGCGCAAUGGGCGAAAGCCUGACGCAGCGACGCCGCGUGGGUGAUGAAGGCCUCGGUUGUAAGACCUCGUGGGNGGAACGAACCGUACGGGGCGGAACGACCCUCCGUACCUCGACGGUACCGUCCUUACGUCAAGCAUCGGCUAACUACUGUGCCAGCAGCCGCGGUAAA
rnacentral:rRNA from 1 species